AGAGAUUUGAUGUGAUGAUUGAGGUAGAAGGCAUGGAUUGUUUGGGGCUUCUCUGAAAUAAGCUUCUCUAAUGCAGGAAAACAACAUGAAUGAGCUUAAGAGAUUUAAUGAAGAGAUGAAUACAGUCGAAGCCUGGGAUUUUUAUACACAGAGAUGGUGCAUAAAUAAGCAAAACAAAAAAAUGCGCCAAUGCUUUGCCAGAAUUUCGUUGGUCCUCUCAAAAUUGUGGGGAAACCAAGAUUGAAUUUAGAGAUGUUUCAUAUGCUUGGCCGUUGACACACCUCUCUUCAAGGCAAGGUCAUUUCCAAGGUGAUUACAGCGCUAGGACCUGCCCCUGAUAAGAACCAGGGCACCCGUUUAAACAGAAUGAUGACUGUGUGAGGCUUAAAAUAUCGCCAUCAUAGCAGGGGUGAUGCUGUCACUUCCAUGGUCCACCAGAAUGAAGAUCGCACUCAGUGCUGCAAGGGGGCUUGCCUUCCUGCACGAAGCUGAGAAGCCAGUUGUCUACAUGGAUUCAAGACAUCCAACAUAUUGCUCGACGAGGUACACAAACCGCGUUUAAUCGCUUCGAUGUGUACUUCCAUUCGCAUAAAUUCAGGACUCCUUAUACACAAAAAAAUAUUAGAAUGGUUCACAUAAAUGGUUCAAUAAACAGAAUGAGCACCUAUAAUUUUUCAUGAGGCUGAUUUCAAGUUCUCAAUUUGUUUGACAUGGAUUGUUUGGGGCUUCUCUGAAAUAAGCUUAUCUAAUGCAGGAAAACAACAUGAAUGAGAUUAAGAGAUUUAAUGAAGAGAUAUGACAGGAUUAGGCGGAGAUGAUGAAAGGCUUUGUAAAAGUCAGAUAAUUGGUUGAACUGCU